AUUUUUUUGUCAAUGGAAGUACUCCCCGAAUGUGUAAAUAAAAAAGGCGCUCCUUUCCAGCCUUGUUCCUUGAACAAGUCGCACGCCUAAGCGCAUAAGGUGAGGGCGUAGUGAAUAUCGUCCACCUUUCUCCCGUAGAGGCGCUAGGGCUGGAGUCUAGUGAGCUUAGAGCCUGAGGCAUGCUUAAGGUGCGCCUUUAAUAACUUAACUACAUAUGUACGAUUUUCACAUUAAGUGGGUUGGGUUUGAU
rnacentral:misc_RNA from 1 species